rnacentral:sRNA from 2 species
GCGCCUGUCAUCUGGGGAGUAGCCGACCGUUACAUUUGUGGCGGGCCAGUGCGUCAACAUACUUGGUCGAGAGACCAUGGUGCACAGGGAGCAAGACCUUGCUCGGGCGAGACCAAUGACACCGCACUUUCGUCCAGGCCGGGCGGGAGGUGCAGUGUCGUUGGAUAUCGCAGCCGC